rnacentral:sRNA from 1 species
UAGGUGUGGAAACCUAUGUUCUCCUUC